GGAGAGGAGAGGAAAGGAAAGGAAGAGAAGAAAAGAAAGAAGAGAGAGAGAGAAAUCUUGACGGGAUGCCCUCAAGCAUCUCAACCAUAACAUGCACAAAAGAGAAUUCUCAAUUCCUUGCUACCCACCCCAAAAUUCCUCCUCCUAACCUGCUGGACUCCAGGUACCAUGGCUCCCCAGGGAUCGGAAUGACUGGGGCUAUCACCGCAGCACCCCUCCUUAUGAAUUGCAUCUGUUACCGGCAGCAAAUCCGAGUGGGUCUGCAGCAACCUGAAUUCUUGCCUCCUCAGCAAACAGAAUUUGACGGAGGGGAAUAAGGUAGAGGGAGAGACUGAGGCAAGUUUUAGAGCAGGAGUGACAGUUUAUUAAAAAGCUUUAGAGCAGGACUGAAAGAAAUAAAGUAUAUUUGGACCUGGAAAUUAACGUACUAUCCUCAUCACUUCUGGGUCGGGCCCUCUGGGAAGAUGGCAGCAGUGCAGGGAGCCGAGGUGAAAGUGGAUGGUAGCGAGCCAAAACUGAGCAACAAAGUCUCUGUUGCCCCAGCUGGAGUGCAGUGGUGGUGGUAACCAUUAGUUCCAGGGUGUUCUGCCAUGUUGACACAAGCUGCUGUAAGGCUUGUUAGGGGGUCUCUGCGCAAAACCUCCUGGGUAGAGUUGGGUCGCAGGGAACUGCGACUGGGUCAACUUGCUCCUUUCACAGCGCCUCACAAGGAUAAGCCAUUUUCUGAUCAAAGAAGUGAGCUGAAGAGACGCCUGAAAGCCAAUAAGAAAGUAGCAGAGAAGGAAGCCAAGCGGAAAGAGCUCAGUGAGAAACAGCUAAGCCAAGCCACCACUGCUGCCACCAAGCACACCACUGACAAUGGUGUGGGUCCUGAGGAAGAGAGCCUGGACCCAAAUCAAUACAACAAAAUUCACCGUCAAGCAAUUCAUCAACUGAAGGUCAAUGGGGAAGAUCCAUCCCCACACAAGUUCCAUGUAGACAUCUCACUGACUUCAUCCCAGAAUAUAGUCACCUACAGCCUGGGGAUCACCUGACUGACGUCACCUUAAAGGUGGCAGGUAGGAUCCAUACCAAAAGAGCUUCUGGAGGAAAGCUCAUCUUCUAUGAGAGGGGGUGAAACUGCACGUCAUGGCCAAUUCCAGAAAUUAUAAAUCAGAAGAAGAAUUUAUUCAUAAUAACAAACUGUGUCAGGGAGACAUAACUGGAGUUCAAGGAGUCCUGCGAAAACCAAGAAAGGUGAGCUGAGCAUCAUUCCGCAUGAGAUCACACUGCUGUCUCCCUGUUUGCAGAUGUUACCACAUCUUCACUUUGGCCUCAAAGAUAAGGAAACAAGGUAUCACCAGAGAUAUGUGGACUUGAUCCUGAAUAUUUUGUGAGGCAGAAAUUUAUCAUCUACUCUAAGAGCAUCAUAUAUAUAAGAAGUUUCUUGGAUGAGCUGGGAUUCCUAGAGAUUGAAACUCCCAUGAUGAACAUCAUCCCAGAGGGAGUUGUGGCCCAGCCUUUCAUCACUUAUCACAACAAACUGGACAUGAAUUUAUAUAUGAGAAUUGCUCCAGAACUCUACCAUGCUUUUGGUUGGUGGCAUCGACCAGGUUUAUGAAAUUGGACGCCAGUUCCGGAAUGAGGGGAUUGAUUGAUUUGACACACAAUCCUGAGUUCACCACCUGUGAGUUCUACAUGGCCCAUGCAGACUAUCACCAUCUCAUGGAAGUCAUGGAGAAGAUGGUUUCAGGGAUGGUGAAGCAUAUUACAGGCAGUUACAAGGUCACCUACCCCCAGGUGGCCCAGAGGGCCAAGUCUAUGAUAUUGACUUCACCCCAUCCUUCCAGAGAAUCAACAUGUUCAUAGAUGAAAACUUCUGUACUGCCCUGGAAUACGGGCUGCCCCCCACAGCUGGCUGGGACAUGGGCAUUGACCAAGUUGCCAUGUUUCUCAUGGACUCCAACAACAUCAAGGAAGUACUUCUGUUUCCUGCCAUGAAACCCGAAGACAAGAAGGAGAAUGUAGCAACCACUGAUAUGCUGGAAAGCACAACAGUUGGCACUUCUGUCUAGAAAAUAAUAAUUGCAAGUUGUAUAACUCAGGCGUCUUUGCAUUUCUGCAAAAGAUCAAGGUCUGCAAGGGAAUUCUUGUGUGUCGCUUUCCAUUUGACUACCGCGGUUCAGUUCAGUCAUCAGAAGAGAGACAAAGAAUUAAACAUUUCUUUUUAAUCCUUGUUACCAAAUAAA